AAAAUAAAUGUAACAUAGAAUACGCUUGCAAUGAUGUUAAACUGAUCCCCCUUUAAUUUCAAAUCUUCGGGAAGCCCCGCAACUUUAGCAUUACCGAUAUUACUACGGUCUAAGAAUGCUACAAGGUAUAAUAUCAUGAUUGUAGGAGCCAAAACCAAAUCCAACCUAAACAGCAACGAAUCUCUUUCCGACUUUGUCAAAUGUGUAUUUUCAAUGGAAAUUGGACUAGCAGUGUUAGAACGGCUGAUGACUUUUUCACUUUCAUCCGCUUUGGUAAAGAUGCUGCCAUUGCUCUUAUUACUGCUAGUGUGACUUAAAGACUUCAUAUUUUUUUUUUUUUUGAAAACGAAAAACGACGACCUUAAAACUUUUUCGUAUGUAAGUUGUCUUUUUAUAAAAGGUAAAUUAAAUGCAAUAUAAUUAGGGAAUUAGUAGGAUAUAAGUGAAACUACUAGGGAUCAAUCGAAUGGUUAAUGUCAAUCUGAUACAAAUGAUUUUCGCAGCGAUAUUAAGUUUUGGGUUUUUCGCUUAAGUGAAGGUGAAUUAGUGAAAACCAGUAUUAGAAAAGGUACCGCGAAAUUCCAAAAUCUGAAAGGAAAUACAAUUCCCCAAGCUAUUAAGGAGAAGAAAAAAAAGAUGAAUAUAUGGAUGUUGAUGACCGAUCUCAAAGCAGUGAGCAUUUUUCGUCGAGCCAUGUACAGUCAAUAUAUAACCCGGCUGAUCGGUUGAGCAUGCAUCCGGAUAUCUGGAAAUAGCUUGCAAUGAUUGAAUAUUAG